CGGAAUGUAGCUCAGCGGUAGAGCGCUCGCUUCGGGUGCGAGAGGCCGCAGGUUCAAUCCCUGUCAUUCCGACCA
rnacentral:tRNA from 1 species